rnacentral:rRNA from 1 species
UCGCGGCCUAUCAGCUUGUUGGUGGGGUGAUGGCCUACCAAGGCGACGACGGGUAGCCGGCCUGAGAGGGUGUCCGGCCACACUGGGACUGAGAUACGGCCCAGACUCCUACGGGAGGCAGCAGUGGGGAAUAUUGCACAAUGGGCGCAAGCCUGAUGCAGCGACGCCGCGUGGGGGAUGACGGCCUUCGGGUUGUAAACCUCUUUCAGCAGGGACGAAGGGUGACUGACGGUACCUGUAGAAGAAGCACCGGCCAACUACGUGCCAGCAGUCGCGGUAAUACGUAGGGUGCGAGCGUUGUCCGGAAUUACUGGGCGUAAAGAGCUCGUAGGUGGUUUGUCGCGUUGUUCGUGAAAACUCACAGCUUAACUGUGGGCGUGCGGGCGAUACGGGCAGACUGGAGUACUGCAGGGGAGACUGGAAUUCCUGGUGUAGCGGUGGAAUGCGCAGAUAUCAGGAGGAACACCGGUGGCGAAGGCGGGUCUCUGGACAGUAACUGACGCUGAGGAGCGAAAGCGUGGGGAGCGAACAGGAUUAGAUACCCUGGUAGUCCACGCCGUAAACGGUGGGUACUAGGUGUGGGUUUCCUUCCUUGGGAUCCGUGCCGUAGCUAACGCAUUAAGUACCCCGCCUGGGGAGUACGG